rnacentral:ncRNA from 1 species
GAUAUUUCGAUGAACGGAUGAGUACAGGCGGAGGACUAUGGCAGAGAGCCGGGGAAGGUGAAAGCCGGUAUAGGAUGAAACCUGGAAUAUGGUCCUGGAGAGCAUGCCUUCGAGCUGGUGUUUCUAAUUCAUUAGUAAGGGGGUAUCGUGUUCCAGCGUUAAUGGAUGAGUCCGGCAAGCGGACUUAGUGAGCCCUGUUCUCGCAAGAGACAGGGGAAUCUGGGUGGUACCACGUGAGAAAUGCUCUCGUCCCAAGA